UGGGGAAUAUUGCACAAUGGGCGCAAGCCUGAUGCAGCCAUGCCGCGUGUGUGAAGAAGGCCUCGGGUUGUAAAGCACUUUCAGCGAGGAGGAAGGUGGUGAGCUUAAUACGCUCAUCAAUUGACGUUACUCGCAGAAGAAGCACCGGCUAACUCCGUGCCAGCAGCCGCGGUAAUACGGAGGGUGCAAGCGUUAAUCGGAAUUACUGGGCGUAAAGCGCACGCAGGCGGUUUGUUAAGUCAGAUGUGAAAUCCCCGGGCUCAACCUGGGAACUGCAUUUGAAACUGGCAAGCUAGAGUCUCGUAGAGGGGGUAGAAUUCCAGGUGUAGCGGUGAAAUGCGUAGAGAUCUGGAGGAAUACCGGUGGCGAAGGCGGCCCCCUGGACGAAGACUGACGCUCAGGUGCGAAAGCGUGGGGCAGCAAACA
rnacentral:rRNA from 1 species